GUAAACUACCUUAGAUCCGAUCGCCACCGGUCACUGGAGCACCUCCAUCCAUCCAGAUCUGGCAGGUUGUCUUCCUCUCCGGUCAGCACCUCUCACUAUGUCUCACGCUUUCACUCUCCCUGUAUUUGUCUCUCUUUCAUUUUCUUUAUUUUCAUUCUGAGAUCUUUGCUUUUAACAUGUUGAGUAUGGUUAACAAUAUAUAUAUUAUUUAUAUGUGGAGUAUUGUUUCAUUGUUAUUAAACGUAUGAAUGUGAUAUAGAAAAAAAAAGGCUAUGCAUAUCUAAUAUUUUC
rnacentral:lncRNA from 1 species